rnacentral:rRNA from 1 species
GACGAACGCUGGCGGCGUGCUUAACACAUGCAAGUCGAACGGUGAAAGCGGAGCUUGCUCCGCUGGAUCAGUGGCGAACGGGUGAGUAACACGUGGGCAACCUGCCCCUCACUUCGGGAUAACUCCGGGAAACCGGGGCUAAUACCGGAUAUGACCUCCUUGGGCAUCCUUGGAGGUGGAAAGUUUUUCGGUGAGGGAUGGGCCCGCGGCCUAUCAGCUUGUUGGUGAGGUAGUGGCUCACCAAGGCGACGACGGGCAGCCGGCCUGAGAGGGCGACCGGCCACACUGGGACUGGGACACGGCCCAGACUCGUACGGGAGGUAGCAGUAGGGAAUCUUCCGCAAUGGACGAAAGUCUGACGGAGCAACGACGCGUGAGUGAUGAAGGCUUUCGGGUCGUAAAACUCUGUUGUUAGGGAAGAACAAGUGCUAGCUGAAUAAGCUGGCACCUUGACGGUACCUAACCAGAAAGCCACGGCUAACUACGUGCCAGCCGCCGCCGUAA